CGAGGUGUAGCGCAGUUGGCAGCGCGCCUGCUUUGGGAGCAGGAUGUCGCAGGUUCGAGUCCUGUCACCUCGACCA
rnacentral:tRNA from 1 species